UCCUGUGACUGCGUACCUUUUGUAUAAUGGGUCAGCGACUUAUAUUCAGUGGCAAGGUUAACCAUCUAGGGGAGCCGUAGGGAAACCGAGUCUUAACUGGGCGUUCAGUCUCUGGAUAUAGACCCGAAACCAGGUGAUCUAGCCAUGGGCAGGUUGAAGGUUGAGUAACAUCAACUGGAGGACCGAACCGACUAAUGUUGAAAAAUUAGCGGAUGACUUGUGGCUAGGGGUGAAAGGCCAAUCAAACCUGGAGAUAGCUGGUUCUCCCCGAAAGCUAUUUAGGUAGCGCCUCGGACGAAUACUACUGGGGGUAGAGCACUGUUAAGGCUAGGGGGUCAUCCCGACUUACCAACCCUUUGCAAACUCCGAAUACCAGUAAGUACUAUCCGGGAGACACACGGCGGGUGCUAACGUCCGUCGUGGAGAGGGAAACAACCCAGACCGCCAGCUAAGGUCCCAAAUUACUACUAAGUGGGAAACGAUGUGGGAAGGCUCAGACAGCCAGGAUGUUGGCUUAGAAGCAGCCAUCAUUUAAAGAAAGCGUAAUAGCUCACUGGUCGAGUCGGCCUGCGCGGAAGAUGUAACGGGGCUAAGUAGUAAACCGA
rnacentral:rRNA from 1 species